UUUUGAAGAGAACCAUGUGCUAAGGAUAUUUUUUAAGAUUUUACUUAUUUUAGUUGAUUGUAUCUGUUGAUGGUUAAAAAGAUAAAUUAACGGAUUUUCUGCUAGAUCCUAGUAAUCAUUUCUAGAAAAAGUAUUAACAAAGUGAUGUGGGGUAUAUUUAAAUCUCUGUGAAUGUGGUUUGAACGUAUAUCUCCUCCUCACUCUUCCAUUAUAUUUUUUUCUCUAUAUCACACUCCUAGUUAUAAGAUUUGCAUUCCGGUGUUUGCUUACAGCUUUUGUCUCUUUCCACAGAUUUGGAGCCUUGGUCACAGAAUCACAGACUCUUAGCAGGGAAAAAACUUCAUAGUCCAUCACAUAGUCCAACCCAUACUUCAACAGAAAUCUUCUCUAUCUCUGGCAAAUGAUCUUGGAUGUUGAAACCAUUUUCUCCUUAGCUUGCUGCAGUGGGCAGUUCUUGGUUUUGUGUAUGGGGAAUGUGUAUAUUAGUGUUUUCAUCAAACAGAACAGGUGAAGGAAACAGAUGGGUGGCAAUGAACCAUAUUCGCCUUCUCCAUCAGAGAGAGACAGGAAAGGAGAAGGCUCUCGAAAUGAAGGAAAACACCCAGGUAACAUCAGAUGAUUCCAUCACUGACUGUGUCCACCACUGAAAGAGCCUGGCAGCUAACCCUUUGUGUAUGGCAAUUAACUCAUGAACAUCAAAAGUAAUUGUCAAUGAGAUUGAUGUAGAACUUUAAAAUCUGCAGGAAUCAUUGGAUUCCCCGACACAUGAAGUAAUAGACGAUAGAUCGGCUUUGGACUAUCUCUUGGAUAGAGGUUUAUGUGUGGUUGUGAAUUGAUAAUUAUUUUUUACACCUUCCUUCUGGGACUAAGGGAAAUCUUUAUAGUGUUUUAUUUAUUCAUUUUGUUUGUUAUGUUAUACUUGCUUGUGUGAUUCCUCCCAUGGUGAUGGAUUUAACUAUUGAUGCAUACCUGCUUCAACUAAAACAAAAGAAAGGGUGAGAUGCAGAAGGCCACAGAUAGUGGGAGAACUUUGGGUGAAGUAUAAGACCUUUUAGCCCAGAGGGAACCUGCUGACAAUAUCUGGUUUGGCUCCCCAUCUCCCCUAAGUG